AAGUAUUUCUUGAGCGUUUUUUCAAAACGUCAUAUCUGCAAUGAGUUACUCUCUGUUUAUACUUUCUCUUUCGAUUUUUACGGCGUCACUAUAACACUUCUCACUUAUUUUACAGUACAGAUCGAAAGACGGUGGUUUUAACUAGCAUAUUAUGCAAAAAGCUGAGGGAUAAAUGUUAAAGUGACCGAAUUAUUAACAGAAGAGAAAGUAAACAAAGAGAGUAACUCAUUGCAGAUAUGACGUUUUGAAAAAACGCUCAAGAUUUCCUCGUCAAUGAUUGAUUCUCAAAGUCUGCUGGAUUAUUUUGGAUAACGAUUCACCAAGUAUAAACUUACCACUCAAACGAAGCAGGAAUGUAUGGCUUCGUCUAGCUUAUUCGGUAACAUGAUGUCGCUGGCUGGUUCGUAACAGGCAAUGUAGAUUGGUUUCAAGUAUAAUCCGAAUAAUUAUGAUCUGAAGACCCUUCCGUUAUUGUCUUUUCUUGGAGGCGGGUAUCAAGAAUGGCUGGAUGGGCGCCAUAGAAAAAUAAUGAGGAUGACAUGUACUUUUCCCUCUCAACCAUAUUAUGUUUACAACAUUAACUCCGUAAAACUGGAAAAAAAUUAUUUCUUGGGGACACAAAUCCUCUGAACGAGCUACCACCCGAUGAAUCAGCGAGAAUGCCCCGAAUAUAAUUACGGACUCACACAUGAGGCAAACGGUAAGUUCUGAAUUUUGGCUAUGUUUGGUUUUUGGUUUAAUUUGGGUGCAUUUUCAGGUUUACUUCGACGGUUUAGAUAAACGCGAUAAAAAUUAUUUCGCCAAGCUGGUGCUUACAGGGAUACUAAAUCAAUGCAGGAAGCCGAAGACGAUCUGCGAUCACCUAUUGAUUUUGCCUUGUGGAAAAUCAGCACUAUCUAGACAUUCACAGUGAUUCGCAUCAUGACACGAGUUGGUGCAGACAACGUUUGUAUCAUCUGCACUGACACGUUUUUAGCUACCGGUGAACUACCUCAACAGCUGCCGAGGUCAAAGAGUACUGAUAGCAAAAAUAUCCGAACGUUGAAGCAGCUUGAAAAAGGAGCAGUUUCCGAAACGGUGCCUGUACACUAUCUGUGGUGAAGCAAUGCACUGCUACGAACUGACUGGUCUUGUGAACAAAGGAUAAUCUGAAGCAGCUUGGUACUCGGUUGCAGUACAUUCAGAAUUUCAACAUAGCCGUUUAUAUGUUUCAGAACUAGCGAAUCCCGAGUAUCUACUGGUAUGUCGCGCAUACUGAAGCAUAACGUUCUAUAUGAGCGUCAAGAUCCGUAAGAGCGUGAAGAACUUUAUUUGGGGAGUUUUCCGUAUCAUUAAGAAAUCAGGAAAAAUAGAAUAUUGAUAAGGAAUAGUUUAUUUUCUCUUAAGUAACCAGUACCGUGAUGUGAUAAGCUUUAUUAAACCUGAAUUGAACCUUUAGUAAUAGCUAAAUUAAUUAAAUAAUUAAUUAUAAUAAUUAAUAGGUAAGUGGAUAGAUAAACCGCAGUUGUUGUUAUAAGAAUCUAACCAAAAUAUUUGAUUAUUUUGAACAAUUUAAUCGCUGAUCCCUUCUAUAACCAUACCAAAAAUACAAAUUCAUUGAUGCUGAAAUGACGAUCAAAAGUUCAUCGAAUCAAGCUGCGUAAUUAAUGAAGCCCCUUUCAUCAAUCUUCGUUCAUACUCCUUGUCAAUAUCACCGUCAACCAGGAGCAUCAGACGAAAGAAAAUUGAGCGGACAACGUCAAUGCAGCUGUGUAUAAAGGCCAUCAAAUGUAGUAAUCACAACAUGAAGGGUGAUUUCAGGUCGGGCUCUGAAAACGACUACGAUUUCUUUUAAUUUUUACUAGGUUAGUGAAAAUGUUAUCCUAACUGAUACUAAUGGAAUCACAGCUCUUGGGGCUGACCUUCAAAAGAUUGAAUUUGGAAUAGCCAAUAGAAUUGAGUAGUUUAUGUCGUUUCUGCUUACGUUAUAUGAUAGGGUGCGCUUUUCCAUAUUUUAAACAUCUUGCGGCAACAUACACGAAACUAGAGCUUCUUUAUGACGACACAUAGAUGUCCGUACCAUAAAAUAUCCUCAUCCCAGUAAAUUACAUUCGGAAUGAGAUUUGGAAUAUGGGCUGAUUUAUGAUGGAAUUCCAACCGAAGGCAACAACCCACCCUGAAUGAAUCGGUUUUCGAAUCGGUUGUUACAUUUGCGCUUAAAUUCUAAAAGAAAACAUUCCGAUUGCGAUGAGCAGGGAAUCUGCUGUCAAAACGAGUGAAACAGAGAGUUGUGAGAGAAAGAGUUUCAACUUUUCUUGGUGGAAACCAAUGAGUAAAAUGUAUGGGC